UUGUUGCGAGGGUGAACGUCGAGUAAGCUUAUCAUUGCCCGGUUGAAACAGCAGGCGGAAGAAACUUCCCGACAGAGAACCCGCGGCUUAGCAGAAGGCGGGACUCCUAAAAUUCUUUAUUUUUCUUGCGAACCAAACAUUUCAAGAAGCAAGAAAAGGAGAGAGAGAGAAAGGGGGAAAUUGUUAAGUUUUUUUGGAAAAGAAGAGAACUCGCAUUACCGACUUAUUACAUUUUGCCAUAAUCUUCUCUCUGUGAUUUAUCAACUGACCUUAAACCCUAGUUUUCGAUCCAACAAGCCAUGGACGCACCACGUGCACAGCCUAUUUGUGCCCAAGAAGCUUUAGAUCUGCUCAACUGCGUUACAGAGUCGCCGUUCGAUCAAGACAAGUGCAUGCGUUUCUUGCAUUCCUUGAGAGAAUGUGUGCUUGCCAAGAAGGUGAAGAAGUUCUCAAUAUCAAAUCCGGACCAGCAGCAGGGAGCACAACCAUCUAGCAAGAAGUCUUGAUGAAAUUUGGGACUUUCUGCAUUUUUUUCUUGGACUACUAGCGCUGAAAAACCUGGAUCAUUCCUUUUGUUAAUGGUUGGCAAUGGUUAAGGUUAAAGGAUUAUAAAAUUGACUGCAGCCUACUUAAUCCACUGUGACUGAAGGUUAAUGCAGGCUUUUCUAGGAUUUGAAUGUUUUCAUGAAAAUUCCUUUAUUUUCAAGUAACAUUCGUUGUAACAUGACUUAGAGAGGAUUAAAUUGUUGAGAGUGUAAGUUGAUCUCACAUACUCAUUGCCAGCAAUAAGAACAAAUGGCGACCUUCAGAUUUUUUCUUACAGAGAACAUUUCUCUGCUCAAGUCAGUGACGAGAGAGUUGGAAAGUCUAAAAGAAUAAGCAGAGUUUUCAGAAAGAGUAGUGAGUAGGAAAUGUAAAUUGCAGAGAGUUCUCCUCAAUCCUUAAAUUGUCGACUCAUAUAUAGUCUGCCUUAUGAAGUAUGGUAUCACGAAAGUUAACGAGCAUCAUGACAUUAUUAUCAUUAGGAUAUACAUAUGAGUUAUGAUGCAGUAAAGUUAGCUUUAUUUUUGAGUUUUAAAGCGAUGUUGGCUGCUACGCGGGAGUUUGGUUGUCGUGACCUUUGGGUAUAACUUGGUUCUUAGAUGUUGCUAACUAAACAUGUUUGAUUUCUUUUAUAGAUAUUCUGAACUGGUUGUUGGGUUUUUUUGGC